UACGUAGGGUGCAAGCGUUUGUCCGGAAUUAUUGGGCGUAAAGAGCUCGUAGGUGGCGUGUCGCGUCUGCCGUGAAAGCCCAUGGCUUAACUGUGGGUCUGCGGUGGAUACGGGCAGGCUGGAGGCUGGUAGGGGCAAGCGGAAUUCCUGGUGUAGCGGUGGAACGCGCAGAUAUCAGGAGGAACACCAUAGCGAAGGCAGCUCGCUGGGACGGUACUGACGCUGAGGCGCGAAAGCGUGGGGAGCGAACAGG
rnacentral:rRNA from 1 species